AUAGUCCAAUGUUGCAUCUCAAAUUUGAGUUAACAGCUGGAGAAUAGUCCAGGCCAGGCCGCCCGCCAGGAAAUUACCGAAAAGAGAAGCACCAGUGGGGGUUAGCCCUAGUCCCCAUCUGGUCCCUGGACUACUACUCCCCAGAGACAAGAAGAAGAAGAAGAAGAAGAAGAAGAAGCAGCAGCUGCAGCAAAUGGUGAACAAAACAUGGAGGAUAAUCCCCCGUCCACUCCUUGAAACCAUCCUCAACAACCACGCCCAGCACCAUCGCGUCCCCCAACCCCUCAUCCUCCACGGCCCCCGCGGCGUCGGCAAAACCACCCUCAUCCUCGAACGUCUACUGGACAAGUGGAACACUGGCCCUCACCUCACCGGCUACGUCGACUUCGCUCAACCCAUCGAAUCCCACCACCCUGCCCACGGCCAGUCAUUCCCAUGGACAUCAUGGUCCAACUGCCCGCCCCCACCCCUACCCGCCCUCCAAACCCAGCUCGAACGCUGCCUCGAAUCCAUGGCCCGAACCGGCGUCAAACUCGGCACCAUUACCUCCCACCAAAUCUUCACCACCCUAAACAAAUGGCACGGCCUCAAUGCCACCCUCCGUCAGAUACUCCAAUCGAAUUUGAAAAGCUCGAAAGCUGCUUUAUCAGAUAAGGUUUCGAAUUCGGUGCUGUGGGGUAGGGCUGUGUGCGCGGUAUCUGCUCGAUUAAAUGCCGAUGAGGUGGAUGGGAUUGUUGAGGGGGGGAAGGUGAGCAUGGAAGAGGUUGCGUAUUUUAAGGAAGCCAUGGCGGGGUUGAGAGUGGCGAAGGAGGUGAUUAGGGUUCAGCAAGGGUGGAGAAGGAAUGCUGUUAGGGAUUUGAAUUGGGCCGGUGGGUUUUCGAGGAGUUUGGCCAAUUCUGCGACGGAUUGGCCGUGUUUGUUGUUGGAGUUGUUGUCUUCGGGGGCUGAAAUUGACUACUUUCAGCCGAAGCUGGUUAUAAACAACAUUGAAGUUUUAAAGCAUGCAGUUUUAACAGAUGAUUCAACAGUCCGUGGGUCAUUGUACCAUGACAGUUUAAUAUGGAGAAUAAUUGCUCUGGGUGCCAAUGAGAGGUGUUUGCCCAUCAUUCUUGUGACAUCAGAUAGCUAUUAUUCCUACCGAGCUUUCAUGGAUUUUGGGUUUCCAGACAUUUUCAUAUCCCGAGAGGCCUUUGGAUGGACUCCACAAGAAGCUAAAAUGCAUAUGGUUGAUGAUUACUUCAGUCCAUCUGAGUGGAAUGUGGUUGUUGAAGUGCUAGGGCCUAGCCCACGACAUCUUUUUGAGCUUUACGCACUCAAACAAAGCAAUUUUUACCAGAAGGUCAUGGAUGAGAAGGGUAGUACAUUUGAAGACAUUGUAGAUGCAUAUUUAGCAUUUCUACAAGUAACUGUGGUAAAUCCUGCCAUGGAUAAAGCUUUGUCGCUGUUGCAAAAGUUUGCUAAUGAUGCAAGAAAUGGGAAAAUCCCAAAAGAUCGAUUACGCUUUGGUGCUCCUUGGAGACAUCCUCCUCGGACAGACAACCCUGCUUUGCGCUUAGAAUGGGCUAAGCUUCAACUAAUGGACUUCGUUCAGUCUCUCGUUAAUACAGAGUUUGGGGUUAAUUAUUUAGCUGAUUGUAGCCUUGAAAUUCUGGAUGAUCCUUCUUGUGUUGCAUUGGUAGAGGUUGGUUUGCUAUACGCCCAACGGGACCCAUCCUUAUUUCGCCCCAUAACUCGGGGUAUUCAAAGAUGUCUUGUGAGAUGGCUUGUCCAGGAGCGGAUUCAAACGAGCCUUCAAAACUCGCUCCAGUAUUUUUGGCAGCGACUUAUACGGGGCCGUAGCUAUCGUCACCUGAUGUUACAAUUGGGCUAUGACAAGUAAAGCAAUAGAGUCAACUCUUACUCUGGAGUUGCUAUGAUUACAAUCUCUGAAACGAAGUAAAGAAGAAUGUGGUUUACUUUCAGGUACCAAGGCAAAGCUAAUUCUUUCAUUGACACAGACUUUUCUUCUAGCAUCACAUAAAAUUGUGGAAGCAACAUUGUAGUUUCAGAGGAUGCUGAAGAGCCAGGAUUUUAGGACUGACCUUUCAGCCGUUAGAUAUUCCGGAAUUCUUCUCGCGGGGCGUUUUUUUUUGUAUGUAUCUGCAUGCAUCAUUGGAGGACCUCAGCUACAACUUCUGCUUUGUACUUCACCUGCAGAUUUGGUAGACAAUAAGAAUAGGGAUAGGAAGGUAUCGACAUUGGUUUUGCCGGUAAAUUGCUGGAAAAUGUAUUGUCGCAUAGAGAAUCAAGUAAAGUAACAGACAAAUUGUUUUAGAACAGGUUAUCAUUAAUUGGCUAAAUUUUGCUGCAUUGUUCCAGAAGAAAAGGAAAUUACUUUUGCUUGCUUGUAUCAUGUUAAGAAUAUCUUCUCAUGCAACUGAGUUAUAGUUAUCGGUUUACACUAAA